UACGUAGGGUGCGAGCGUUGUCCGGAUUUAUUGGGCGUAAAGAGCUCGUAGGCGGUUUGUCGCGUCGGCCGUGAAAUCUCCACGCUUAACGUGGAGCGUGCGGUCGAUACGGGCAGACUUGAGUUCGGUAGGGGAGACUGGAAUUCCUGGUGUAGCGGUGAAAUGCGCAGAUAUCAGGAGGAACACCGGUGGCGAAGGCGGGUCUCUGGGCCGAUACUGACGCUGAGGCGCGAAAGCCAGGGGAGCGAACGGG
rnacentral:rRNA from 1 species